CAGAACAGAGUGCCUUCUGGCCCCCCACUUUCUAGAUGCAAAAGAGUCUUGUGUGCUUUGCUAUACUUCGCCCUCCCUCUUCCAGGAUUCCCCACUGCCCUGCAGCGCUGGACGCAGCAGAGUGGCGCUCAACGUGGGGCUGGAAGAGAAGGUCGCCAUGAGCAGGAAGAGGUGAAACUACAGACGGUGGAAACGGUAGCCUUGCACUCGACGGAGUCAUGACCCCUCUGCAUGGAGGAAAACGUGAGCCACUGCAGCUGCCGCCCCACAGCACCCCCUGAACAGGGCCCAGCGUGGCGAUCAGGAGGGAGGCACUCGGUGCUCUGGGAAAACCGACAGGACAGGCCUCCAGAGAGUUAGAUUUCAGUCUCUACAGUAGGAACCUACCAUGUCCAGCCACCCAGUACUCGUCACCCCAGCCCGCAGGAAGUAGCUACAAAAGAGAGCACCAUUGCCCCAUCCCUAUAACCAAAGGCUGGAAUAAUAGGUUCCCAGGAAGAUGGAGACAGACCCCCCCCCACAAUCCCCUGAAUGUGACUGUUCAACUUGGAGAACUGCUGCGGACAUGGUCUGCAGAACUGGAUUGAUCCACAGACACCAGAUGAAUGCUCUGCAAUCAAAAUUUGCUAAGACAGUUCUUAUGCAACAAAUACAUACAAACACGGGAGAUGUUGGACACCACUGAAACUGCUGAAUGAUGCAGUCAACAAAUUUGGCACAUGUGCAAAAGCACAACCACGAAGAGAGAGCUUUAUUAUGACCUGCACCUGAUUUUGCUCAUUAACCUGUGUCACCUUCCCUAAUACAGGCCAGGUGGACUAAAGCCUGGGGACUUUCUAGAUGCAAAGGAGUCCUAUGUGCUUUGUUGUAUCACGCUCUCCCUGCAGGCUGGACGCAGCAGGGACUAACAUAUGUGUUGUGGAUCUGAACACAGGGCAGGUAACAAUAGAGCAAAUGAAUGGUGUGACUUGAAACUUGGGUAGAGGAAAAAGUAAUUAAAUGUUGUUUUAACAUUUCCCAUGUGCACAUAGUCUGAUAGGUUUUGGAGAGGUUCUAACAAAUACAUGAGUGGAAUAGGAGUUAAUGAGAUACCAGUUACAGUUGGCAUUGACUUUUAGUGCUAACUAUGUGCUAGGCUCUGCUAUAAGGAUUUGCCAGAUAUUAAUGCAUUUGAUCCGCACAACAACUUUAUGAGGGUAUUAGUAUUACUCCCAUUUGAAAGACAAGGAAUUAUGUCCCAGAACUGUCCCAGGUCAGUUAUAGGCAGUGGGUGGAGGAGCCUGGAGUGAAAUCCAGCCAGAACUCAGAGUCCUCACCAUGGCCCACUACAGAGUCAGAGUGACCUCUCUGCCACAGGAGGUGCUAAGCCAUAGGAUAAUGACCAUUCACCAGGGCAGGUAUAAAGGUGGUACACACAUGAAAUGGACUGGAUAACCUCUAGGCCCAUGCCAUCCUUAUGAAUCUAAAAACAGGUGAGACCUCCCGUCAGCAUGGUAGACAAAGAAGGCCUAACUACCACCCAAACCCGACUCAAGUCAAAUCCUAGAGGAACGAUGAACUACAGUUCCUUUGCUUUGCACAUUUCACAUCAGAAAAGCUUCUGUGUAGCCUGAUACAAUGACCAAUAGCUUACUGGUACCACAAUCUUGGAUCCCCAGGGGAGGUUCUAAGUUGGUGCUAAAACAGCAGAGGAGAAGGGUCCAUAUGCCAACAAAGCAUUUACAAUAGGCCGGCCCAGGGCUUGGACCCUAGAGACAUACUCUCCCUACAACCAUCCUGCCUAUCCUUC